UACGUAGGGUGCAAGCGUUGUCCGGAAUUAUUGGGCGUAAAGAGCUCGUAGGCGGUUUGUCGCGUCUGCUGUGAAAACGCGAGGCUCAACCUCGCGCCUGCAGUGGGGUACGGGCAGACUAGAGUGCGGUAGGGGGAGAUUGGAAAUUCCUGGUGUAGCGGUGGAAAUGCGCAGAUAUCAGGAGGAACACCGAUGGCGAAGGCAGAUCUCUGGGGCCGUAAACUGACGCUGAGGAGCGAAAGCGUGGGGAGCGAACAGG
rnacentral:rRNA from 1 species